GAAAUUUUUUUAAAUUAAGAGUGGAAAUAUUUUUUGCUUUAUUUUUACAUAUUUAAAUUCCUAUGUCCUCUCAAACCUUGUUUGCAUAUAUAUAAGUAUGUAUGUGACUAUGCAUAUAUAUUUUGACAAAGAGAUGACUGAUGUUAUAAAAAUCAAGUACACAUUAGUUAAAAAUUUUAAAGAAAUUCUGAGUUUCCUUAUUUUUAAACUGGGAUUUUUUAGAUUGGUUAAUUUCUGCAGCCUUCUAAGUUGUAUAUAAUCAAAACAUUCUAUUAAAGUUCUUAGAUUAUAUACAUAUUUGUAAAAUGUUCUUGGUAAAUGUAAGUAUAUAUACCUUCUGUGGGUGUUUAUCAUUAAUAUAUGUAGCAAAUUAUUCAAGAAAUAACAAAAGCACCCCUUUGAAAAGCUCUGUUAUCGUCCCUAAAUAUAUAGCAUUAAAAUAUCUCAGAGGAAGACACAUAACUUUAAUUACCUAAUACCUAUGCAGCAAAAUAUCAUGGACUCAUUUGAAAGUAUUAACAGUAGGUACUAUGAAUUAAACCACAUACACUGAAUGCAUCUACGUUAUCAACCACCUGUGAUAAUCAUCCCUUUGUUGAAAGACAAAGAGUAGUUUAUGUUUUCUUAACUGGAUUCAGACUGAUGCCAACUCAGGAACUUUGCAUAUUCUUAUAGGAUUAGAAGAUCUUUGACCAAUAAUUGCACUACUAGGCAUUUACCCAAAGAAUAUAAGAACACUAAUUCAAAGGGAUACAUAUACUCUUUUGUUUCCGCAGCAUUAUUUACAAUAACCAAGAUAUGAAACAACCCAAAUGUCCAUUGAUUGCUGAGUAGAUAAAAAUAUGGUAUAUACAUACAAUGGAAUACUCUUCAGCCAUAGCAAAGAGUGAAAUCAUCCCAUUUGCAAUGACAUGGAUGGAGAUAAGGGUAUUAUGCUAAGUGAAAUAAGUCAGUCAGAGAAAGACAUACCAUAUGAUUUCAAUCCUAUUGGGGCUUUAUGAAUGGUGGCGGCGGGAGAGACAUAGAGAGAGAGAGAAACAGACUCCUAAUUAUAGAGAACAAUCUGAUGGUUAUGGAAUGGGAUAGGCUAAGUAGAUGAUGGGGACUAGGAGGUGCACUUGUCAUGAUGAGCACAGGGUAAUGUAUGGAACUGUUGAAUUAUUAUAUUGUACACCUGAAACUAAUAUAACACUGUAUGUUAACUAUCUGGAAUUAAAAUUAAAAAAAAAAACUUAAAUAAAACAAAACAAAAUACUUCCAUUUUUAUUACCCUAGGAUUUCAAAGCAGGCCAUAGGAUUUGUCCUUAGUGGACAAGAAUAAUAAUUGUUCUAAGUGGAUCAGUAGCUCAGCAGUCACACUGUUGCUCCUAAAGUCUUCUCAAAGGUGAGCAGAUAUGAUGCCUCAGCAAAUAGGAUACUGCACAAAUGAGAUGUUCAAGCAGCUAAGUUUAAUCGGAGAAAAACUUUUGAAAAUAAAAAAAUUUCUGCAGGUACAAUAUGCCUUAGCUUUUAUUUCUAUAUUUGGCAAAUGGAAACACGUAAAAUCAUGUAAAAACAUGUAAAAUUUCUUCUUUGAUAACUGACAGAGCAAUAUAGAAUUGCCUACCAACCCUUCAUGAUUAAUAAAAAGAACAUAAAAAUAGCAUUCUAAGUUCUAUUUUCAUGGCUAUUCCAAAGUAAUGUAUAAUUUCUCCAAAUGUCCUCUACUUUCUGAUUUAACAAUCUAAAAAAUAAUUAUAGACAUUAAACAAAAUCACAAUAAUUUGUUUAUAUAAUAUGCUGUCCCAAAUAUGUUUCUUUAUACUAUAGUCUCCGUGAGUUUCAAAAUUCUCACCUUAUAAGUAAAAUACACUUACAUCAUCAAAUUCUGAAAUUCUUGUGUAUUUUCAACAAUAGUGAUUUUUUUUUGUCAAGGUGAAGAUUCUGGGCAUAUAAAAAACUUAUACAUUCCCUGCUUUCAUAAAAAAAAGACAAAAGAGGCCCUAUUUCUGAUUUGAAUGAGGUAGGUAUAUACAUGAUAUCUUCAUAUAAGUGAUGUGAGUUUGGUCAAGGAGUUUUGUAGUUUGGGAAAUGGACACAUUUAAUGCUAUCAGUAGCUAUAUCAAUUGGGAAAUAAUUCUAAGAUGUUGCCACUUCACAACCAACUUUUCAUAAUCCAUUUAUUGAUGAAUUUGUUAAAAAACUAAAUGUCAGCUGUGGGCAAUCAUAAGAGGAAAAAACGGGAAUAUGUAGUUUCUGCUUUUGAUAUAGUUUACAUAUUUAGGACACAACAAUUCAUUAAAAAUAUUUAGUAGAAUUAAUUGAAAUUAAUUAAAAUAAACAUACUAAAAAUAUUAUCCUUAUGUUUUAUUCUUUUAUUUACUGGGCUGUUUGGAUAUAAAGGAAUGGACAUUACCUCAAGCUGUAAAUUCCUGUUCAAAUUUUGGAACUGGGAACCUGAUUGACAUGAUCUAUCUUCUGUCAGGCCACUUCUCUAUUACAAUAUCUUAAAAUGCAUAUUCUUUCCAUUUCUAUCACUUUUGCAGAACAUACCAUUUCUAAAAACAAAGCAAACACCCCUAAAGUCUAAACCUAAAAUAUAUCAUGAGGGUUAUAAAUCUUUUUUUCUGAGAAAUACAUAGAUCUAUAAAUUUGUGUCCAAUGAUAUCUUUAUAGAUUGGGUUAUUUAUUGGUUUAUUUGGUAUUUUAUAACUCCUCCGACACAUCUAGAUAUAAAUCAGUUUACAGGGUCUUUAGGAGAAUGAAUCUAUGCAAAGUAGACUAGACCCGAUUGGGCAAUGAGUCUCAUGUAACGUGUCCCUCCAUCAAAAAUAGAACUUACUAUAUCUUCAUUAAUAAAGGCCUCAUUCGAAACAAAGGCUGGAAAUAAACUUAAGCAGGGGUUCAAAAAUAUAAUCACGGAUUUGAGCUUCUAUUGUCCAGAUCAUUUAAUAAAAUGAUUAUUAUGAUCCCUACCAAACUAUAGCUUUGCACCUUCCAUUUGGAGUGUUUAAGAAUGGUAGCCAAUAACAUAUUUAAAUUUAUGAAUGUAAUUAAUCUUAUGAAAGUAAAUAAAUUAACAUCAGAGUUUUCAGACUGAUACUGGAUUUGUGAUUACAUAUAAUACUUUAAAAAAUUAGACUUCACUUAAUCUAAUAAUUCCUCUAAUAGCUGCUUUUUUUAAAUAAUUCUGGAAUAAUACUUUCUCUGAUCCCAAAUAAAAUUUUGCAAAUAGUGUUUUUAAAAUACCACAUCUUUAUCUCUCACACAUUUCUUAUAAAAAGUAGCUAGAGAAAGAAAAUAAUCAGAGGAAAAACAACAAAAUUUAAAUCAGCUGCUAUGCUACUCCAUAUUAUCACAGCAUGCCUCUAUUCCCCACUCCUCAUCAUGUCUACCUCAAGCUGCUAUUUUAAAGGUGUUUUUUGGUUUGUUUGCAUGUGUUUUUAAAAAAUGUUUUGGCUAAUUUUGAAUAAAAAUAGACCUGUAGUUCAUUUUUUCUUUUAGCAAGUUUUGUGUAAACAAAGUUAUUCUCUGACUCAUACACACACACAAACACACACGCACACACACACACACACACACACACACAGAAAUUUUAAACAAUAUUUCUUAAGAGAAAGACUAUGUUGUGUCAAAUAAUUUUUAAAUAAAUUAAGCAUAUUCUUAUUUUUUAAAAUAUGCAUGUUUUAUCUUUUCUAUAGAAAUGUUAAGUCUAAGAAUAGUCAAAUAUUAAAAUUCAAUGUUGUAGUUGAAUAUCUUGUAUACUGACAUUUAAUCUUCAGUAACUAAAUGCAUUUUGAAGAUAUUUUAAGUUCAAUUUUAAGUAACUGGCAUUCAGAACAUGUUAAGUUUUAACAGCUGCUAUAUUUCAGUUAAAAUAUUUGUUCUCAUAAGAUGAAAUACAAUGACCUGUGAAUCAGUAGUAAGGGUUCUUUAUAUUUUUAUUUUAAUAAAAAAGAAAACCUUUAUAUUGCUCCUGGAUAUUAAAGGUGAUUACAGCAAAUGUUACUUUAUAAGCACAAUUAAAGGCAUUUAUGCAGCUUUUGCAUAAUGAUAAUAAUUAAAAACCGUUUAUUUUAAAGGCUGCUUAAAAGUUAAUUUUCACCCAGGUGCAUAUUGAAGCCUAUAAUUAGCCUUUCUUCAGAGGAGGUUUGGUUGAGGAAAUACAUAAAGGCAUUUCCAAAGGCAGAAGUUCACUGCUAAAAUGGGAUUUUGGUUUUAACUUUAGUUUGAUAAUGGUGCUUAAAAUAUGUGAGAACAAAUGCUCCGAAAUACUUUAAAAAAUGAAUCUAUAAUCAUCCCAGAUUGAUUUCAUUGAGAAGACAUAUAGAAGACCUAUUUUCAUAUAAUUUGUUUGGGAAAUGAAGUCCCAUAAGACUGCUACCUGGAAAAUUUUAUUAUUUACAACAAAUAUAAGAAAUUUUCAAAACAAUUACAAAGCAUAAUUUCCUAUGUAUCUUGUCAUUCUACUGGGCUGGAAAUCAAUGCUAUUUCUAUAAUAAAUUCUCACUUAACAAUUCAUUCUUCCUCUACUAGUGAUGUCCUACUUACUAUCCAUUCACCAGAUGGUGCAUUUUCCGAAAGCUCUCUCAUAUUUCCAGACAGAAUCUCCAAGUAGAGCAGACCAUCUCAGUUUGGAAGCACUUACAUAUUUAUUUCACAUCAGAAGAUUGAUACCUCUGAUAUACCUCUACUGGAGUCUUUAUUUUUCUGUCUUGUUCUAUAACACUGAAGAGUAGAUCAUCCACCAAUUAUAAAAUUUAGCAAGUCCUGUUCUUAGGUCAAUCCAAUAAGCCUGAAGAAUAAAGAUCGGUUCUCUGCUUCAUUAGCAUGAGACAUCAUAA